UAGUCUGGGAUACCACUUGGAAACAGGUGCUAAUACCGGAUAAGAAAGCGGAUCGCAUGAUCAGCUUUUAAAAGGCGGCGUAAGCUGUCGCUAUGGGAUGGCCCCGCGGUGCACUAGCUAGUUGGUAAGGUAAAGGCUUACCAAGGCGAUGAUGCAUAGCCGAGUUGAGAGACUGAUCGGCCACAUUGGGACUGAGACACGGCCCAAACUCCUACGGGAGGCAGCAGGU
rnacentral:rRNA from 1 species